rnacentral:rRNA from 1 species
CCGGCGACCGGCGCACGGGUGAGUAACACGUAUGCAACCUGCCCGUGGCAGGGGGAUAAGCGGGGGGAAACCCCGGUCUAAUACCGCGUAACGCGGCCUAGGGACAUCCCAAGGCCGCCAAAGGGAGCAAUCCCGGCCACGGAUGGGCAUGCGGCGCAUUAGCUAGUCGGCGGGGUAACGGCCCACCGAGGCGACGAUGCGUAGGGGUUCUGAGAGGAAGGCCCCCCACACUGGUACUGAGACACGGACCAGACUCCUACGGAAGGCAGCAG